ensembl:snRNA U6 U6 spliceosomal RNA
GUGCUCGCUUCUGAGCACAUGUACUAAAACUGGAACGAUACAGAGAAGAUUACUGUGGCCUCUGCGCAAGAAUGACACGCAAAUUCGUGAAGUGUUCCAUAUUUUU